rnacentral:piRNA from 1 species
UAUUUAGGUAGAUCUUUCAGA